rnacentral:rRNA from 1 species
UUCCUACGGGAGGCAGCAGUGGGGAAUAUUGCGCAAUGGGGGAAACCCUGACGCAGCAACGCCGCGUGCGGGAUGAAGGCUUUCGGGUUGUAAACCGCUUUCAGCAGGGAAGAUAAUGACGGUACCUGCAGAAGAAGCCCCGGCUAACUACGUGCCAGCAGCCGCGGUAAUACGUAGGGGGCAAGCGUUAUCCGGAUUCAUUGGGCGUAAAGCGCGCGCAGGCGGGGCGCCAAGCGGGCCCUAUAUUCUUGGUGCU